rnacentral:rRNA from 1 species
GGAAGGAUCAUUGUCGAUACCUGCGAGAGCAGACCGCGAACCCGUGUUUAACCGCUGCGGGGCGGCGUCGCGGCGGGGGCGAGAGCCUCCCCGUGCCGUCCGGCCCGUCCCCCGCCCCCGGGCGGGGUAACGAACUCCGGCGCGGAACGCGCCAAGGAAGACCGAAACGAAGCGUCCCGCCCCCUCCCGGCUCCCGUUCGCGGUGCGCCCGGGACGGGGGGACGGGUCGCCUCACGUGUAUACGAUGUCAAAACGACUCUCGGCAACGGAUAUCUCGGCUCUCGCAUCGAUGAAGAACGUAGCAAAAUGCGAUACUUGGUGUGAAUUGCAGAAUCCCGUGAACCAUCGAGUCUUUGAACGCAAGUUGCGCCCGAAGCCAUCCGGCCGAGGGCACGCCUGCCUGGGCGUCACGCAUCGCGUCGCCCCCCGCCCCUCGAGGGCGGGGGCGGAGACUGGCCUCCCGUGCGCUCCCGCGCGCGGCCGGCCCAAAUGCGAUCCCCCGGCGACGCGCGUCGCGACCAGUGGUGGUUGAACGCUCAGCUCGCUUGCUGUCCGUCGCGCUCCACGUCGUCGUCCGGCCGGGCAUCACGAACGACCUGACUG